CAUGCAAGUCGCACGCGAAAGGGGGCAACCCCGAGUAGAGUGGCGGACGGGUGCGUAAUGCUUGGGAAUCUACCUCGUAGUGGGGGACAACCCGGCGAAAGCCGGGCUAAUACCGCAUACGAUCUACGGAUGAAAGCGGGGGACCGCAAGGCCUCGCGCUAUGAGAUGAGCCCAAGUCCUAUCAGCUAGUUGGUGAGGUAACGGCUCACCAAGGCAACGACGGGUAGCCGGUCUGAGAGGACGACCAGCCACACUGGGACUGAGACACGGCCCAGACUCCUACGGGAGGCAGCAGUGGGGAAUAUUGGACAAUGGGGGCAACCCUGAUCCAGCAAUGCCGCGUGUGUGAAGAAGGCCUUCGGGUUGUAAAGCACUUUCGAUGGGGACAAACAAGUUCGACCUAAUACGUCGGACUCUGAUGG
rnacentral:rRNA from 1 species